rnacentral:lncRNA from 1 species
UAUUGUAAUUGCCAUAAAUUUUCAAUAAAUUAUAGAAUAAUUUAUAUAUUAUUCUUUUUUGUAAAAAUUUAACAACUUGCUAAACUAUUACUUGUGUUUCAUCUCUAAAUCAAGGUCUCUUCAUACAUUGUUUUUUCUCCUCAUUCUUAUUUUAUUCUAAUUCAUACCAUCUUCUUAGCAAUAUCACCUUCCGUGUCAACACAACUUUGAUGCUAGUCCACUUCUAGCAACUAAUCUCCAACCCUAAU